rnacentral:rRNA from 1 species
GACGAACGCUGGCGGCGUGCAUAAUACAUGCAAGUGGAACGCAACUUUUCUCCCGUUUCUUCGGAAACACCUGAGAAGUUGAGUCGCGAACGGGUGAGUAACGCGUAGGUAACCUGCCUGGUAGCGGGGGAUAACUAUUGGAAAAAAAAAGUUAUACCGCAUAAGAGUAGAUGUUGCAUGACAUUUGCUUAAAAGGUGCAAUUGCAUCACUACCAGAUGGACCUGCGUUGUAUUAGCUAGUUGGUGGGGUAACGGCUCACCAGGGCGACGAUACAUAGCCCCCCUGAGAGGGUUAUCGGCCACACUGGGACUGAGACACGGCCCAGACUCCUACGGGAGGCAGCAGUGGGGAAUCUCCGGCAAUGGACGGAAGUCUGACCGAGCAACGCCGCGUGAGUGAAGAAGGUUUUCGGAUCGUAAAGCUCUGUUGUAAGAGAAGAACGAGUGUGAGAGUGGAAAGUUCACACUGUGACGGUAUUUUACCAGAAAGGGACGGCUAACUACGUGCCAGCAGCCGCGGUAAUACGUAGGUGGCAAGCGUUAUCCGGAUUUAUUGGGCGUAAAGAGAGUGCAGGCGGUUUUCUAAGUCUGAUGUGAAAGCCUUCGGCUUAACCGGAGAAGUGCAUCGGAAACUGGAUAACUUGAGUGCAGAAGAGGGUAGUGGAACUCCAUGUGUAGCGGUGGAAUGCGUAGAUAUAUGGAAGAACACCAGUGGCGAAGGCGGCUACCUGGUCUGCAACUGACGCUGAGACUCGAAAGCAUGGGUAGCGAACAGG